rnacentral:rRNA from 1 species
GACGAACGCUGGCGGCGUGCCUAACACAUGCAAGUCGAACGGAAAGGCCCUGCUUUUGUGGGGUGCUCGAGUGGCGCACGGGUGAGAAACACGUGAGUAACCUGCCCUUGACUUUGGGAUAACUUCACGAAACUGGGGCUAAUACCGGAUAGGAGCUCCUGCUGCAUGGUGGGGGUUGGAAAGUUUCGGCGGUUGGGGAUGGACUCGCGGCUUAUCAGCUUGUUGGUGGGGUAGUGGCUUACCAAGGCUUUGACGGGUAGCCGGCCUGGGAGGGUGACCGGCCACAUUGGGACUGAGAUACGGCCCAGACUCCUACGGGAGGCAGCAGUGGAGAGUAUUGCACAAUGGGCGGAAGCCUGAUGCAGCGACGCCGCGUGCGGAAUGACGGCCUUCGGGUUGUAAACCGCUUUCGCCGGUGACGAAGCGUGAGUGACGGUAAUGGGUAAAGAAGCACCGGCUAACUACGUG